rnacentral:rRNA from 1 species
UACGUAGGGGGGCUAGCGUUGUCCGGAAUCAUUGGGCGUAAAGCGCGCGUAGGCGGCCAGAUAAGUCCGGUGUGAAAGUCACAGGCUCAACCUGUGAAUGCCGCUGGAAACUGUCUGGCUUGAGUCCGGAAGGGGCGAGUGGAAUUCCUGGUGUAGCGGUGAAAUGCGCAGAUAUCAGGAGGAACACCAAUGGCGAAGGCAGCUCGCUGGAACGGUACUGACGCUGAGGCGCGAAAAGCGUGGGGGAGCAAAACAGG